UGGAGUAUGUGGUUAAUUCGACGCAACGCGCAGAACCUUACCUAGGCUUGACAUCCCGGGAAUUUGCUGGAAACAGUGAAGUGCUUUCAUUAGAAAGAGCCCGGUGACAGGUGCUGCAUGGCUGUCGUCAGCUCGUGUCGUGAGAUGUUGGGUUAAGUCCCGCAACGAGCGCAACCCUCGCCUUUAGUUGCCAGCAUUCAGUUGGGCACUCUAAAGGGACUGCCGGUGUCAAACCGGAGGAAGGUGGGAUGACGUCAAGUCCUCAUGGCCUUUAUGUCUAGGGCUACACACGUACUACAAUGGCAGGUACAAAGGGCAGCGACACAGCGAUGUGAUGCGAAUCCCGAAAAGCCUGUCUCAGUCCGGAUCGGAGUCUGCAACUCGACUCCGUGAAGUUGGAAUCGCUAGUAAUCGUGGAUCAGCAUGCCACGGUGAAUACGUUCCCGGGCCUU
rnacentral:rRNA from 1 species